rnacentral:misc_RNA from 1 species
AAGUCGUAACAAGGUAACCGUAGGUGAACCUGCGGUUGGAUCAUUAAAAAGAUCAAAGAUCAUUUCUGUGAGUUCAUUCUCGCGGGGUGGUCCUUCUCACAAAUUGUGAGAUCAACGUCUUGUGAACUGUCUCUGUCUCUGGCGGUGGGGUGGUGAAAUAAACACCUGUCAGCAUUGGCGCAUUUGUGUCAGUGCCGUGGACAAGCCGUCAAUGGAUUGAACAAACCUUAUUAUAUUUACUUUGUCUGACAUUAUCUUGUAUUUAAUUAUACAAAAACAACUUUUGGCAACGGAUCUCUUGGCUCUC